GUGGGGAAUAUUGGACAAUGGGCGAAAGCCUGAUCCAGCCAUGCCGCGUGAGUGAUGAAGGCCUUAGGGUUGUAAAGCUCUUUCAGUAGGGAAGAUAAUGACGGUACCUACAGAAGAAGCCCCGGCUAACUUCGUGCCAGCAGCCGCGGUAAUACGAAGGGGGCUAGCGUUGUUCGGAUUUACUGGGCGUGAAGCGCACGUAGGCGGAUUGGUCAGUUAGAGGUGAAAUCCUGGAGCUCAACUCCAGAACUGCCUUUAAUACUGCCAGUCUAGAGUCCAGAAGAGGUGAGUGGAACUCCUAGUGUAGAGGUGGAAUUCGUAGAUAUUAGGAAGAACACCAGUGGCGAAGGCGGCUCACUGGUCUGGUACUGACGCUGAGGUGCGAAAGCGUGGGGAGCAAACAGGAUUAGAAACCCUGGUAGUCC
rnacentral:rRNA from 1 species